rnacentral:rRNA from 1 species
GACGAACGCUGGCGGCGUGCCUAACACAUGCAAGUAGACCUGAGCUGCGAACGGGUGAGUAAUGUCUAGGAAUCUGCCUGGUAGUGGGGGAUAACGUCCGGAAACGGGCGCUAAUACCGCAUACUAUCAGAUGAGCCCAGGUCGGAUUAGCUAGUUGGUGGGGUAACGGCCUACCAAGGCGACGAUCCGUAACUGGUCUGAGAGGAUGAUCAGUCACACUGGAACUGAGACACGGUCCAGACUCCUACGGGAGGCAGCAGUGGGGAAUAUUGGACAAUGGGCGAAAGCCUGAUCCAGCCAUGCCGCGUGUGUGAAGAAGGUCUUCGGAUUGUAAAGCACUUUAAGUUGGGAGGCGUUACCAGCAGAAUAAGCACCGGCUAACUUCGUGCCAGCCGCCGCGGUAAUUC